rnacentral:rRNA from 1 species
UACGUAGGGUGCAAGCGUUAUCCGGAAUUAUUGGGCGUAAAGAGCUUGUAGGCGGUUUGUCGCGUCUGCUGUGAAAAUCCGGGGCUCAACCCCGGACUUGCAGUGGGUACGGGCAGACUGGAGUGUGGUAGGGGAGACUGGAAUUCCUGGUGUAGCGGUGGAAUGCGCAGAUAUCAGGAGGAACACCGAUGGCGAAGGCAGGUCUCUGGGCCACUACUGACGCUGAGAAGCGAAAGCAUGGGGAGCGAACAGG